rnacentral:misc_RNA from 1 species
GAUGAAGAACGCAGCGAAAUGCGAUACGUAAUGUGAAUUGCAAAUUCAGUGAAUCAUCGAGUCUUUGAACGCACAUUGCGCCCCCUGGUAUUCCGGGGGGCAUGCCUGUCCGAGCGUCAUUGCUGCCCUCAAGCACGGCUUGUGUGUUGGGCCCCGCCCUCCGAUCCCGGGGGACGGGCCCGAAAGGCAGCGGCGGCACCGCGUCCGGUCCUCGAGCAUAUGGGGCUUUGUCACCCGCUCUGUAGGCCCGGCCGGCGCUUGCCGAUCAACCCAAAUUUUUUAUCCAGGUUGACCUCGGAUCAGGUAGGGAUACCCGCUGAACUUAAGCAUAUCAAUAAGCGGAGGA